GGCAGGGGUCUGGUGGCCCAGACGGCCUUCAAAGCCGCGAGGGCGUCGCAGUCCGACGCUUGGAAGGUUCGAUUCCUUCGCCG
rnacentral:tRNA from 1 species